GUGGGGAAUAUUGGACAAUGGGCGCAAGCCUGAUCCAGCCAUGCCGCGUGAGUGAUGAAGGCCUUAGGGUUGUAAAGCUCUUUCACCGGUGAAGAUAAUGACGGUAACCGGAGAAGAAGCCCCGGCUAACUUCGUGCCAGCAGCCGCGGUAAUACGAAGGGGGCUAGCGUUGUUCGGAAUUACUGGGCGUAAAGCGCACGUAGGCUGAUAUUUAAGUCAGGGGUGAAAUCCCGGGGCUCAACCCCGGAACUGCCUUUGAUACUGGGUAUCUUGAGUAUGGAAGAGGUCAGUGGAAUUGCGAGUGUAGAGGUGAAAUUCGUAGAUAUUCGCAGGAACACCAGUGGCGAAGGCGGCUGACUGGUCCAUUACUGACGCUGAGGUGCGAAAGCGUGGGGAGCAAACAGGAUUAGAAACCCCGGUAGUCC
rnacentral:rRNA from 1 species